GAGUUGGAUCUUGGCUUAGGAUGAAUACUGGCGGCAUGCUUAACACAUACAAAUUGGACGGGAAAUGGUGUUUCCAGUGGCAGACGAGUCAGUAAUGCAUAAGAACCUUCCCUUGGGAUGGGAACAAUAGUUGGAAAUGAUUGCUAAUACCCUAUAGGCUGAGGAGCAAAAUGAGGAAUCCGCCCGAUGAGGGGCUCGCUUCUGAUUAGCUAGUUGGUGAGGCAAUAUCUUACCAAUACGAUGAUCAGUAGCUGGUCUGAGAAGAUGAUCAACCACACUAGUACUGAGACACAAUCCAAACUCCUACGGGAGAUAGCAAUGGGGAGUUUUUCACAAUGGGCGAAAUCCUGAUGGAGCAAUGUCGCGUGGAGAUAGAAUGCCCGUGAGUCGUGAAUUUUUUUUCCCAGAGAAGAAGCAAUGACAGUAUCUAGGGAAUAAACAUUGACUAACCCUAUGCUAGAAACCAUGGUAAUAUAGAGGAUGCAAGUGUUAUCU
rnacentral:ncRNA from 1 species